rnacentral:rRNA from 1 species
UGGGGAAUCUUCCGCAAUGGACGAAAGUCUGACGGAGCAACGCCGCGUGAGUGAAGACGGCCUUCGGGUUGUAAAGCUCGGUGAUCCGGGACGAAAGAGCCUGAUGUAAAUAGCCUAAGGAAGUGACGGUUCCGGAAAAGCAAGCCACGGCUAACUACGUGCCAGCAGCCGCGGUAAUACGUAGGUGGCAAGCGUUGUCCGGAAUUAUUGGGCGUAAAGCGCGCGCAGGCGGCUUCCUAAGUCCAUCUUAAAAGUGCGGGGCUUAACCCCGCGAUGCGAUUGAAACUGGGAAGCUGGAGUACCGGAGAGGCAAGUGGAAUUGCUAGUGUACCGGUGAAAUGCGUAGAGAAUAGGAAGAACACCGGUGGCGAAGGCGACUUGCUGGACGAAAACUGACGCUGAGGCGCGAAAGCGUGGGGAGCAAACAGG